rnacentral:rRNA from 1 species
CGGGGUGAGUAAUGUCUGGGAAACUGCCUGAUGGAGGGGGAUAACUACUGGAAACGGUAGCUAAUACCGCAUAACAUCGCAAGACCAAAGAGGGGGACCUUCGGGCCUCUUGCCAUCGGAUGUGCCCAGAUGGGAUUAGCUAGUAGGUGGGGUAACGGCUCACCUAGGCGACGAUCCCUAGCUGGUCUGAGAGGAUGACCAGCCACACUGGAACUGAGACACGGUCCAG